rnacentral:rRNA from 1 species
GUCCCCUGGAACGGGGCGCCACAGAGGGUGAGAGCCCCGUAUAGUUGGACGCCUAGCCUGUGUAGAGCUCCUUCGACGAGUCGAGUAGUUUGGGAAUGCUGCUCAAAAUGGGAGGUAAAUUUCUUCUAAAGCUAAAUACCAGCCAGAGACCGAUAGCGCACAAGUAGAGUGAUCGAAAGAUGAAAAGCACUUUGAAAAGAGGGUUAAACAGCACGUGAAAUUGUUGAAAGGGAAGCGCUUGUGACCAGACUCGCGCCGGGCUGAUCAUCCGGUGUUCUCACCGGUGCACUCUGCCCGGCUCGGGCCAGCAUCGGUUCCUGCGGGGGGAUAAAGGCUCCGGGAACGUAGCUCCUCCGGGAGUGUUAUAGCCCGGGGCGCAAUGCCCCCGCGGGGACCGAGGACCGCGCUCUGCAAGGAUGCUGGCGUAAUGGUCACCAGCGACCCGUCUUG